rnacentral:rRNA from 1 species
UACAGAGACUGCAAGCGUUAUUCGGAUUCACUGGGCGUAAAGGGUGCGCAGGCGGUUGGGUGUGUCAGAUGUGAAAUCCCGAGGCUUAACCUCGGAACUGCGUCUGAAACUACUCGACUAGAGUACUGGAGAGGGAAACGGAAUUCACGGUGUAGCAGUGAAAUGCGCAGAUAUCGUGAGGAACACCAGAGGCGAAGGCGGUUUCCUGGACAGUUACUGACGCUCAGGCACGAAAGCAUGGGGAGCAAAAGGG